CAAAGGAAUUGACGGGUCCCGCACAAGCAGCGGAGCGUGUGGUUUAAUUCGAUGCUACACGAAGAACCUUACCUGGGUUUGACAUAGAGGUAGUAGGGAAGCGAAAGCGGACCGACCUUCGGGGAGCCUCUACAGGUGUUGCAUGGCUGUCGUCAGCUCGUGUCGUGAGAUGUUCGGUUAAGUCCGCUAACGAGCGCAACCCUCGCUGUGUGUUACAAGUGUCACACGGUACUGCCGAUAUUAAGUCGGAGGAAGGUGGGGAUGACGUCAAGUCAGCAUGACCUUUAUAUCCAGGGCUACACACACGCUACAAUGGCCAGUACAAUGGGUUGCCAAGCCGCGAGGCGGAGCCAAUCCUAAAAAGCUGGCCUCAGUUCAGAUUGCAGUCUGCAACUCGACUGCAUGAAGUUGGAGUUGCUAGUAACCGCAGGUCAGCAACGCUGCGGUGAAUACGUUCCCGGGCCUU
rnacentral:rRNA from 1 species